ensembl:misc_RNA Metazoa_SRP Metazoan signal recognition particle RNA
GCUGGGCAUAGUGGUGUGUGCCUGUAAUCCCAGCUACUUAGGAGGCUGAGGCAGGAGAAUUACUUGAACCCAGGAGGUGGAUGUUGUGGUGCACCAGGAUGGCACCACUGCACUCCAGCCUGGGUGACAGAGUGAUACUUUGUUUUUU